CACGUAGGGGGCAAGCGUUGUCCGGAUUUAUUGGGCGUAAAGAGCUCGUAGGCUGUUCGAUAAGUCGGGUGUGAAACCUCCAGGCUCAACCUGGAGACGCCACCCGAUACUGUCAUGACUAGAGUCCGGAAGAGGAGAGUGGAAUUCCCGGUGUAGCGGUGAAAUGCGCAGAUAUCGGGAAGAACACCCGUGGCGAAGGCGGCUCUCUGGGACGGUACUGACGCUGAGACGCGAAAGCGUGGGGAGCGAACAGG
rnacentral:rRNA from 1 species